rnacentral:lncRNA from 1 species
CAGGCAUGUCUUGGCCUUAUCUGCAAAAAGCAGCUUCGGCCCUUACAGUCCAGAUGUACAAGAACUCAAGCAGUCCGCAGCCAGAUCUUCGCCCAAUCUCAAAAGAACUGGGGUGAGAAGCUUGCAAUAGGGAUUGCACGCCAGGCCCUCCAAGUUGGAGUGCCACAUCAACAAGGUUACCAAAUGAUCUUCAGAACAUUUACGCAAUUGUGCAUAUUUUUGUGGCGAUCUAAUACGCAAACAACCAUGACACGAUAAGGCUGCGUACUUUACACAUCGAUUCCUCACCUGCUGAGUUCCUACUGUUCACUGAAGAAGCAUCACAAAGCCAUCUUCAGAAUGACCACAUCUUCAGAUGUUGGCAGCUCGCUUUCUCAGACUGGCCUCAAUUGCAGUCGUUGAAGCUGAUCUAUUUAUUCACAAACAGUGUCGGACCGCGGCAAGGGAGAGUGCAAGCCGAUGCAACUGAAAGAAGAUGUACCCCUUGAAUUGUGCUUCAGGGGUUCAGAUUCCGCUCAUCAAAGUAAUGCAAUCGAAUGCUGGGAAUUACAGGUGAUAUGCGCGUCACUUGCGAGGUGGAAUUCUCGAUUGGAUUU